rnacentral:tRNA from 1 species
GGGGCCGUAGCGCAGCUGGGAGCGCGCCUGACUGGCAGUCAGGAGGUUCGAGGGUUCGAUCCCCUCCGGCUCCACCA